rnacentral:rRNA from 1 species
GUGGGGAAUUUUGCGCAAUGGGCGAAAGCCUGACGCAGCAACGCCGCGUGAGUGAUGAAGGCUUUCGGGUCGUAAAGCUCUGUCAAUGGGAAAGAAGUGUAUUUUGGCUAAUAUCCUUAAUACUUGACGGUACCCAUAAAGGAAGCACCGGCUAACUCCGUGCCAGCAGCCGCGGUAAUACGGGGGGUGCAAGCGUUGUUCGGAAUUAUUGGGCGUAAAGCGCGUGUAGGCGGUCUGAUUAGUCUGAUGUGAAAGCCCUGGGCUCAACCCAGGAAGUGCAUUGGAUACUGUCAGACUUGAAUACGGGAGAGGGUAGUGGAAUUCCUAGUGUAGGAGUGAAAUCCGUAGAUAUUAGGAGGAACACCGGUGGCGAAGGCGGCUACCUGGACCGAUAUUGACGCUGAGACGCGAAAGCGUGGGUAGCAAACAGGAUUAGAUACCCCUGUAGUCC